rnacentral:rRNA from 1 species
UUGCGCAGCUUAGGUGGGAGGCUAUGAACCUUUUCUUCUGGGAAGAGGGGAGCCGUCAGUGAGAUACCACUCUUGGUAAGCUAGAGCGCUCAGUCUUAACCGUCAUCCGGUAAGACGACAGUUUCAGGCGGGCAGUUUGACUGGGGCAGUCACCUCCCAAAAGGUAAUGGAGGUGUGCAAAGGUUCCCUCAGGCUGGACGGAAAUCAGCCAUAGAGUGUAAAAGCAAAAGGGAGCUUGACUGCGAGACUGACAUGUCAAGCAGAGACGAAAGUCGGCUUUAGUGAUCCGACGGUGCUGUGUGGAAAGGCCGUCGCUCAACGGAUAAAAGUUACUCUAGGGAUAACAGGC